rnacentral:lncRNA from 1 species
AAAGGCAGGCGCUACCACCAGGGUCUUACAGCUUGCAGUGAUUUGGGUCCUGAUGACCACGGCAUUGUUCUAAUAUCUCCAAAGCUUGGCCAGGUCCUACAGAAUGAAGCUCACCUUGUGAGUCUGUUUUGCAAUUUUGAGAGACCGUGUACAUCCAUUCUGCCUAAGCUUUAUGUUGAGGUAAAAUUUCUGUUGUUUCCUAGAAGAACCUCAUGCUUUAUGAUUUGUGUCUGUCACUGAGGCUCUCCCCACGCACAUCUUGUUGUCCAUGUUCUAGUCCAUCUUUCUUGGUGCACCUUGGCUUCCCAAAUGCUAGGAUUGCAAUGUGUCACCAUGUGCCACCAUGCCCAGCACAUCCCUCCAGUUCUUAAAGGCCACACUAAAUGCCCCUUCCUUCUUCCACUGGUGGAAUUCACUCAAUACUUAUCACUUAUGCCUGGGAAAGGAGAAAGUUGUCAGAGUGCAUGGCUCAAGAAAAGAGAUGACUCUAGUCCUGCAUGACUUUACAAAGUAAACAUGUGCUCUCUAAGGGCUACCCUCAGCCAACCUGUGGUCAGACAGCAGAGUAUGGAGUGGUAGAGUUGGCUUCCUGGGAGAGACAGUCACCGAGAAUGGCUCUCGUGUGAGAACCAGCAGCGAUACUCAUGUUAGCACACACACAAAGCAGGAUGUGGUGGACGGCGUCAGAGGAAGACCCAGAUGGGCACUGGUUGUGAGAGAGGUGCACUGGAUCAAGUUCCCAGGCCCAUGGGCUGUAGGUGUUCACAGUGAAUUCUCACAAGAUGGACGUCUGGGCUCACGUGGGUUCCUGAUGUUCUGCCAUGUUUGUGAGAGGAUAUGUCGAGGCCUCACACUGGGUUCUUGGAUUUUGAAGCAUUUGAUUUAGCUAAUUGUUCAGAGUCAAUU